UAUCCUACGGGGGGCAGCAGUGAGGAAUAUUGGUCAAUGGACGAGAGUCUGAACCAGCCAAGUAGCGUGAAGGACGAAGGUGCCAAGCAUUGUAAACUUCUUUUGUCAAGGGAAAAAAUCAGGCUCGAGAGCCUGACCGAGGGAACUUGAAGAAAAAGCAUCGGCUAACUCCGUGCCAGCAGCCGCGGUAAUACGGAGGAUGCGAGCGUUAUCCGGAUUUAUUGGGUUUAAAG
rnacentral:rRNA from 1 species